rnacentral:rRNA from 1 species
GACAGAGGUGCCGAGCGUUAGGCGGAAUCACUGGGCUUAAAGCGUGUGUAGGCGGAUGCCUAAGUACCUUGUGAAAUCCCACGGCUCAACCGUGGAACUGCUUGGUAUACUGGGCGUCUUGAGCCACUUAGGGGCAACCGGAACAAACGGUGGAGCGGUGAAAUGCGUAGAUAUCGUGAGGAAGACCAGUGGCGAAGGCGGAUCUCUGGACAGUUCCUGACGCUGAGGCGCGAAGGCCAGGGGAGCAAACGGG